GGAUGUGAGACUAAUCUGGUAUUGACAUUUGACACUCUAUCACCAAGGUUGACUUGGCCAAUCUGGUUGGCUAGGUCAGCUUCAGUGCUCCACGCACAUCCCUCCCAAAGCUGAGUGCUCCAGGGAAGAGAACAGCCCACCUCAAUAAAGGCAGGUGGCUUGUUGGUAUACAGGUAGCCAUGCUCCCCAGUUGCAGCCUACAAACAAGCUCUCAAGGUUCAAUAUUUGAAACUUUCAGUCAGACAUGAUGGUACAGCCUUUUAAUCCUAGGACUCAGGAGGCAGAGUCAGGUGGA
rnacentral:sRNA from 1 species